rnacentral:lncRNA from 9 species
AAAUUGUAUCUGCCACCAUGAGCUUGUCAGCUUCCCAAAACUUAACCAUUUUUUGGUAAUUUUUUUUAUAUUGUAUAAUAAAAUGUGGGAACAUUUGGAAGAUCUACAUAGUUCAAUGAAUUCAAUUAUUUCCCAAAUACCUUUCACCCAACGUCACAGAAUCAUGCAUGGGUAAAAGAUCUGGUCAAAGUCAGAAGUGUAGAGGCGAAGACCAAUAUAUUCUGCUGUAACAAAGUAUGAAAAGUUCACCGAUGAUAUUUCAAAUUCCACAUUUUAGCUAACCUUCACAAAACCAUCCCUUGUUAAUUUCUGCGUGGUACCAAAGAAUACCCCACUAUUAUCGGAAAAAGCUAUAGAAAUACUCUCCCUUUUCCAACUAAUUAUCUAUGUGAGGCUGGAUUUUCCUCAUAAUUCAUCAAAACAAUAUACUGAACCGAAUGAAUGUAGAUAUGGAAAUCCAGCUGUCUUCUAAUAAGCCAAACAUUAAUGAGAUUCUUAAAAACAGUGCCACUCUUCUCACUAAUCUUUUUACAAUAGUGUUUCUCUUUUUAAAAAAUGCUGUUUAUGUUUACUUCUAAGAAGUUUAUUCUUACUCCUAAACGAAAAUAAAUACUUCAAUUUCUAAUAUGGAGUAGAUACAUAUCCUACAUUAAAAAACAUAAGGAGUUCCCGUUGUGGCUCAGUGGUAACGAACCCAAUUAGCAUCCAUGAGGAUGCGGGUUCAACCCCUAGCCCCGCUCAGUGGUUUAAGGAUCCUGUGUAGGCUGCAGACAUGGCUCAGAUCUGGCAUUGCUAUGACUGUGGCAUAGGCCGGCAGCUGCAGCUCCGAUUCAACCCCUAGCCUAGGAAACUUCCAUAUGCCACAGGUGCAUCCCUAAAAAAAGAAAACAAACAAACAAAAAAACAUACUGAAGACCCCAACAAGCUUUUCAAGUAUCUAUAAGAGACCAAAAAGCCUGAAUAUAUAAUACCACUGCCUAUUGAGGAUAUCUAUGACGCUCCUAAGGACAAGGCCAUUUGCAUUUCAGGGCCCAAGAGAAAUCAGCACUCUCAGCAUUUUUUCCAAAAAUGCCAGGUCUGGCUUCCCAGUUCUGCCAGAAGAGAGGGUAAGAAGUUAGGGGCACUAAAGAAAAAUUUUCUCUGCAUUUCACUGACAGAUCAAAACAUCUGAUUCCAUGCUAAAAUCCAGGAAGCCUAUGACCAGACAAUUCUAAGGUCCUAAAGGGAAUCUAGCAAGAAAGCUAAACCCAACUCCACAUUUUCAGUAGCAGAUUCUGAAGUUAAAAGUUCAUUGAGGAGUUCCCGUCGUGGCUCAGUGGUUAACGAAUCCAACUAGGAACCAUGAGGUUGCAGGUUCAAUCCCUGGCCGCACUCAGUGGGUUAAGGAUCUGGUGUUGUGGUGAGCUGUGGUGUAAUUUAAUCCCAAAGGAGGCCUCCCUGAAAUUAGUAUGCCCCAAAUAUUCCGUUUCCCAAGCUGAGGUUUAUAUACCCACAAUAAUACACUACAGUAAAAUUUGGGAACAUGAGGUAUGUGACAGUCCCCACUCCUUUUUUUUGUAAGGUUAGUUUUAGAAGAGUUCAUUGGAACUGGAAAUUGGACAUAUGGAAAUUGACUCUUCUAAAGCUAUAUAUGCACAGGUAUCCCUUGGAAGUUCUGGGCCCCUAAAUACCCUGCUAAAAAACCACUGCUCAGGAGGAUCGAGUUCUAACUCUAGUGAAACACCCAAAUCCCUUUGUGACAGAACCCCUAUUAAUUUCCCUCCUCCUAUUUCUCCCUGGAUGGCUGCCUCCACACCCAGCUCAAGUCUGUCAACCUGUUUCCAGUUCUCUUUCCAAGCCUUGCUGUAUCUUUACUAAUGUUACAAUGUAUCUGGAAUGUCUCAGCACUUCUUCAUUCCCAGACAACACUUGAUAAUUUUUCAAGGCUCCAUUCAGUCCAAUGGGCACCAAGGGGGUGGUUUCUAUGCACAGAGCCUCAGUAUUUACUGCAAGAUACGAAGGAUGGGAUACAAAGGUCUGCCAAUACGUGUUAACUGUCUAAAUCAACAGGUGAUGAAGUUAAAGAUGGGGUCUAAAGUAUGAGACACCAGAGAUAACUCCCUUAGGAAGGAAGGAUUAAAACAUUUCCUAGAUCCGGAAUAGGACUGUGAAGACCAGGGAAUGGGGAUAAUAGUUUUCCAAGUGAAAACUAUUAAAUAUUCUUCUAAUGUUCUAUCAGAACACAUACCACAUAAUGUGGCAAAUGCUGUUUACUUGAUCAAAAUCUCCCCUAGACUAUAAACUGAAAACACGCCUGCCUCGUUCACCACUGCAUCCCCAGUACCUUCCAUAGUGCUCUGUCUCAUCAAAUAUUUGUCGAUGUUUAUUAGAAACUGUUGAAUGAUUUAAUGAAAUAAUGGAUGGAUACAUGAAAAGUUAAAUUCCACAGCAUCUCGCAUCUUGUUUGAACCUCUACAGUUUAGGAGAGUACUUCUCUAGAGAGAGUGAAGAUGGGGCAGUUAAAAAGUGGAUAUCCAUAUUAAAUUUAGCCAUGAGGCCUGAGAGGAGCUUGGGCUCACACUGAAGCGAAGAGAAUUUAAACUGCAGCGGGGCGGGAAAGAGGAGGCACGGAGGCCCCGGGUGAGGGGAUGCUUCAGGGUUCUGGCACCCAGAGGCGGGGCGACCGAGUUCACUGGGCGUGGCAGGGGAGGGAGAGGAGGGGGCGGGGAGGGGAGAAGGGUUCCGAAGAGGCGCGAAGUCCAGGCUGGGUAGGAGGCCGAGGCCGCCCCUUACCUCCCAGGGGAUGGAGAGGUGGCAGGCAGGAAGCAGGACUGGGGCAGGAGCGGCCGGAGGGCUAGGGACCGCGUGAAAGAACCCGGGCAGAGGGAAGGGCGGGAGAGCCGGGCCGGCGGAGGGUCGUUCCCCGCCUCCGCGGCCACACUCACCCAGCGGACUCAGCUUCGCCCAGGCCGGGCGCCGGCUCCGCGUCGCUUCCUCCCUUGGCCUGCUGGGCAGGCAGGCGGCCUCAGGCGCCCCUAGCAACCACGCACGGCCACGCGACCCGCGCUCUCAGCCGCCGGCGCCGCUGCCGCCACCACGCAC